rnacentral:lncRNA from 1 species
GCAUUCAUCCAUGCGGUGACCGGCUCCCCAAGGAAAUUCAGUAAUGACUCCAUCGUGGUUUCUAGGUCAAGAGGAACCAGCCUUUCAUCCCAACUGGUGUUAUUCAACAUUCUCCGCGUGGACACAAAGCAGCCCCGGGAUUCAGCACCCAUGCCGACCCGACCAUCACCUGCAAGCAUGAAUGGGCAUGUGUUGCAUGGUCAGCCCAGGAUAUCUAACUUAGGGUCAAGUUGUGCAUGUUGGCG